rnacentral:lncRNA from 1 species
UGUUGGCGCUUCUUCUCCCAAGCUCUUGCAGCCCCCUCGGGACUAGGUUUCCAACGGCGCUUGCGGGGGGCCUCGCGGAGGUGGAUGUGGAAAAGGCGAGCGCGGGGGAACUGUGCUGUAACCAUCGCCCCGCCUCCACAGAAAGCCCCGAAGCGCCGGCUCGGGGCCGAACGCGGGCAUCCGGCGUUCGUCUGUUAGGCAGGCAGACAUUAAGCGCCUACUGUGUGCUGGGCCCUACUCAAGACCCAGGCGGGGAGAACGGCGUCUGUCCGGCUGGGUCAGGAGCCCCAAAGCUUUGAAAGAACACCUCCUGAGAGUACAGUGGGAAAUCAACCACCAGCAGAUGAUGGUUGAGCUAGAAGAACCACGUGUUUCCACAGGGAGCUGCACACGAGGACCCGGUGGUCCCUGACCUGCCCUCUCCAGGGGGGACCUGCACUUUCUGCCACCAAAGAGGAUUCUCUGUAGGGAGGCCAGGAUGAUUCUCCAGAAUUUACCAUGCCUUGAGAUGAAAUUUCCUUUCAAACUUCCUUGUGUCCUUUUGUCCUCAUUCCAUGUUCACCAGUCUUCUGACUGUUUCAUUUUCCAGAAAGGAGAAACUGAAUAACAUGUAUAUUUUAACCUUG